rnacentral:rRNA from 1 species
AUUGAACGCUGGCGGCAGGCCUAACACAUGCAAGUCGAACGAGUGGCGGACGGGUGAGUAAUGUCUGGGAAACUGCCCGAUGGAGGGGGAUAACUCCUGGAAACGGUAGCUAAUACCGCAUACCAUCGGAUGUGCCCAGAUGGGUUUAGCUAGGAGGUGGGGUAACGGCUCACCUAGGCGACGAUCCCUAGCUGGGCUGAGAGGCUGACCAGCCACACUGGAACUGAGACACGGUCCAGACUCCUACGGGAGGCAGCAGUGGGGAAUAUUGCACAAUGGGCGCAAGCCUGAUGCAGCCAUGCCGCGUGUAUGAAGAAGGCCUUCGGGUUGUAAAGUACUUUCAGCGGGGAGGCGUUACCCGCAGAAGAAGCACCGGCUAACUCCGUGCCAGCAGCCGCGGUGAUUC